CAUAAAAGGUAUUAUAUUACUUAAUGUUUUGGGGCAACUCAAAGCUAUAACACUAGAGGCUCUGUGAAAUAGGAUAUUUGGACCCGGGGGCAGUACCCGGCGCCUCCACCAUUAAGAUUUCAAAAUCCGCUUGUAUAGCGCGAGAGAAUAAAAUGCGAUAGAUAAGUGGAGUUUUAGGAGAUUAAACAAUUUUCGCAGCGCGCGUACUUGAGUGUACGUAAACAAGAAAAUUUUUAAUCGACACCAAAAUCCGCUUGUAUAGCGCAUUUUAUCACAGAAGGGGGCGAUACAGGUUUGACAGGUAUCAGUAAAGACAGGUAAGCUGUGUUCGGUGAGAUACCACCGUUAUCGGUUCAAAAUAAAAUGAAUGCUAACGAUAAUAACGUAGCUCCUGUUGCUUUGGCUGCUUAAUUGGUAGCAAGCAACACUAUCAAUUCUUAGAGACUGGAGUUCUUUAAGUGGGGUUAUGAGGCUUUCCCAACAACAGAAAAGCCUC
rnacentral:tmRNA from 1 species